rnacentral:rRNA from 1 species
CCUACGGGAGGCAGCAGUAAGGAAUAUUGGACAAUGGUCGCAAGACUGAUCCAGCCAUGCCGCGUGCAGGAUGACAGCCCUAUGGGUCGUAAACUGCUUUUGUGCGAGAAAAAACCCCUCUACGUGUAGAGGGCUGAUUGUAUCGUAAGAAUAAGGAUCGGCUAACUCCGUGCCAGCAGCCGCGGUAAUACGGAGGAUCCAAGCGUUAUCCGGAUUCAUUGGGUUUAAAGGGUGCGUAGGCGGAAUGAUAAGUCAGUGGUGAAAGCCUGCAGCUUAACUGCAGAACUGCCAUUGAUACUGUCAUUCUUGAGUACAUUUGAUGUGGGCGGAAUGUGUCAUGUAGCGGUGAAAUGCUUAGAUAUGACACAGAACACCGAUUGCGAAGGCAGCUCACAAAACUGUAACUGACGCUGAGGCACGAAAGCGUGGGUAUCAAACAGGAUUAGAUACCCUGGUAGUCCACGCUGUAAACUAUGAUUACUCGAUGUUUGCGAUACACUGUAAGCGUCCAAGCGAAAGCGUUAAGUAAUCCGACCUGGGGAGUACGCGUCGCAAGAGUGAAACGUUCAAAGGAUUGACGG